UGGGGAAUAUUGCACAAUGGGCGCAAGCCUGAUGAAGCCAUGCCGCGUGUAUGAAGAAGGCCUUCGGGUUGUAAAGUACUUUCAGCGGGGAGGAAGGGAGUAAAGUUAAUACCUUUGCUCAUUGACGUUACCCGCAGAAGAAGCACCGGCUAACUCCGUGCCAGCAGCCGCGGUAAUACGGAGGGUGCAAGCGUUAAUCGGAAUUACUGGGCGUAAAGCGCACGCAGGCGGUUUGUUAAGUCAGAUGUGAAAUCCUCGGGCUCAACCUGGGAACUGCAUCUGAUACUGGCAAGCUUGAGUCUCGUAGAGGGGGGUAGAAUUCCAGGUGUAGCGGUGAAAUGCGUAGAGAUCUGGAGGAAUACCGGUGGCGAAGGCGGCCCCCUGGACGAAGACUGACGCUCAGGUGCGAAAGCGUGGGGAGCAAACAGG
rnacentral:rRNA from 1 species